GUAUGAAUGGUGGACCUACAGAGGAUCAGUCUGGUGCAGCAAUUAGCAGAGUUUAUAGUGAGAGGAGGCAGAAAGAGUUAACAAAAAAAAAACGCGCACAUGCCCGCUGUUGUGUUCAGGAUGACUUUUAAUCCGCGCUGCAAAAGUUUAAAAGUGAAAGAAAGCGUGACAGUUCACACUGCUGCAGAUUCGCGCCUCGAAAAUGUUGGCUGAGUUUAAAAAAAGAAAGAAUAAAAGACGCGCAAAGUUUACGCCUGGCCGCCAGUAAAGAGGGUUUUCACUGAAGACUCUGUGAUGAAGAGGAGGAUGAAGUGCGACACACUAGGCACAGGAAUCAGAAAGCAUCGCAGCGCAGGACUAUCAGGCUGGUUUCCACCACAUCCACCCUUCCUAAUGAGCGGUGGGGAAAUCACCUCUGCAAAGUAGGAGUUUAUAUGUACUGUACUGUCUGAUCAGUGGAUUGUUGUUGCUGUCUUCACAGGGAUAGGAUUAUGCUGCUGUCAUUCAGACUUGUACGUAUGUGUAAAAGUUGUUCUUAGGCCUGUCUCACACCUUAUUUUACUGAAAGCUGAUAAUUUCCCUUCAAAUUUCUCCCAUAUAUUUUUCCAACAUCAUUUUGAGUCUCA
rnacentral:lncRNA from 1 species